AGUGAACGCUGGCGGUAGGCCUAACACAUGCAAGUCGAACGGCAGCACAGUAAGAGCUUGCUCUUACGGGUGGCGAGUGGCGGACGGGUGAGGUAUACAUCGGAAUCUACUUUUUCGUGGGGGAUAACGUAGGGAAACUUACGCUAAUACCGCAUACGACCUCCGGGUGAAAGCAGGGGAUCUUCGGACCUUGCGCGAUUGAAUGAGCCGAUGUCGGCUUAGCUCGUUGGCGGGGUAAAGGCCCACCAAGGCGACGAUCCGUAGCUGGUCUGAGAGGAUGAUCAGCCACACUGGAACUGAGACAGGGUCCAGACUCCUGCGGGAGGAAGCAGUGGGGAAUAUUGGACAAUGGGGGCAAGCCUGAUCCAGGCAUACCGCGUGGGUGAAGAAGGCGUUCGGGUUGUAAAGCCCUUUUGUUGGGAGAGAAAAGCAGCAGGUUAAUACCCCGCUGUUCUGACGGUACCCAAAGAAUAAGCACCGGCUAACUUCGUG
rnacentral:rRNA from 1 species